rnacentral:rRNA from 1 species
AUGGCGACGUCGUCGUCGGCUAGCGGGGGCGGUGCCGCCGGGGGCGCGCCUGGACUCAAGACUUACUUCAAGACCCCCGAGGGCCGGCAUAAGCUGCAGUACGAGAAGACCCACUCCCCCUCCGUGCUGCACUACAACCACAGCUCUGGUGGCAAGACUGUCUCCGAGCAGAUGACAGUGGCAUAUUUGAAGGAGAAGCCCGUGGGGCAGGGCUCUACACCAUCAACACCAAGUUCCAGCAGUGGCAUGCGAUCUGCAGCUGCGAGACUGCUUGGUACCGGGAAUGGGAGCCGGACACUUAGCUUUGCAGGCAGCAACGGUGUCAGCAGGGCUGUUUCAGGGAGCAGCCGUGUGGGUGGCGGCGUUGGUAUGUCAACGGGCGUCGGUGGAUCUCAAGCUGUGGCGAAUUACGAUGGCAAGGGAACAUACAUCAUCUUCAAUACCGCAGAUACACUGUUCAUUAGUGAUCUCAACUCACAUGAUAAAGAUCCAGUAAAGUCCAUCCACUUCAGCAACUCAAACCCACUUUGUCAUGCAUUCGACUCGGAGGCCAAAGAUGGGCAUGACCUGAUUGUUGGAGUAUGGUCAGGAGAUGUCUAUUCAAUGUCAUUGAGGCAACAGUUGCAAGAUCCUGGAAAGAAGCCUGUUAUGUCUCAGCAUUUUAUCAAUAAAGACAAAGAUGGAACUGCCAACAGCCGCUGCACUUGUGUUGCAUGGGUUCCAGAGCGUGAAGGCAUUUUUGUUGUCAGCAAUGCUGAUGGGAAUCUGUAUGUGUAUGACAAAUCCAAGGAUGGAAAUGCUGACUGGGCAUUUCCAACUGUAAGGGAUCAAAAUCAGCUGAUGAUUUCACAUGCAAAGUCCACUAAGAGCAAUCCUACUGCAAGAUGGCACAUCUGUCAAGGUGCAAUCAAUGCCAUUUCAUUUUCGCCGGAUGGAGCUUACAUGGCAACUGUUGGGCGAGAUGGUUAUUUAAGAGUAUUUGACUUCGCGAAAGAACAACUAAUAUUUGGUGGGAAAAGUUACUAUGGUGCUCUUUUGUGUUGCUCAUGGAGUGCGGAUGGAAAAUAUAUAUUAUCAGGUGGGGAAGAUGAUCUUGUGCAAGUAUGGAGCAUGGAUGACAGAAAGAUGGUUGCGUGGGGCGAGGGGCAUACAUCAUGGGUUAGCUCAGUUGCCUUUGAUUCGUACUGGUCCCCCCCAAGUUCUGAUGACGCAGGAGAAAAUGUCAUGUAUCGCUUUGGUUCUGUUGGCCAGGACACCCAACUUCUUCUCUGGGAUUUGGCAAUGGAUGAGAUUGCUGUGCCACUUCGACAUCCUUCCAGCGGCUCCCCGACAUUUAGCAGUGGAAGCCCUUCUGCACACUGGGACAGUGCAUGUCCUCCUCCUACUGGUGUUCUUCAACCGUCUCCACGGAUGCGAGACGUACCUAAGCUCUCACCCCUCGUUGCACACAGAGUACAUGCUGAUCCCCUUUCUGGCCUAGAAUUCACCAGUGAAUCGAUCGUCACCAUAUGCCGCGAGGGGCUAAUCAAAAUCUGGGCCAGGCCACAACACAGUGAAAACAGCCAGCGGCCGAAUUCUUCUGAGCUGGCAGCUGGCAAUGCCAUCUCAAAGGAUAAGAUGAUAACAUCACCAAACAAAGCAGGCGCUUCCAGCUCUAGCUUCAAGCAACCAUCAUCUGUUAUUUUCUCAUGA